rnacentral:misc_RNA from 1 species
UUUCCGUAGGUGAACCUGCGGAAGGAUCAUUCAUAAUAAGUGUUUUAUGGCACUUUUUUAAAUCCAUAUCCACCUUGUGUGCAAUGUCGGGGUUGGUCUCUUUUGAUCAGCCACAAACAUCAACUAUUAUCUCAACUCUUUUUCUGAAAAAUAUUAUGAAUAAAACAAUUCAAAAUACAACUUUCAACAACGGAUCUCUUGGCUCUG